rnacentral:rRNA from 1 species
AGCAGAGCACUCCUCGGGAGGCAGCAGUGGGGAAUCUUGGACAAUGGGGCAACCCUGAUCCAGCCAUGCCGCGUGAGUGAUGAAGGCCCUAGGGUCGUAAAGCUCUUUCGCCUGUGAAGAUAAUGACUGUAGCAGGUAAAGAAACCCCGGCUAACUCCGUGCCAGCAGCCGCGGUGAAUAGCGGAGGGGUUAGCGUUGUUCGGAAUUACUGGCGUAAAGCGCGCGUAGGCGGACUGAAAGUUCGGGGUGAAUCCGGGGCUCAACCCGGAACUGCCUCCAAAACUAUCAGUCUAGAGUUCGAGAGAGGUGAGUGGAAUUCCGAGUGUAGAGGUGAAAUUCGUAGAUAUUCGGAGGAACACCAGUGGCGAAGGCGGCUCACUGGCUCGAUACUGACGCUGAGGUGCGAAAGUGUGGGGAGCAAACAGGAUUAGAUACCCUGGUAG